GCUGGGGCGGAGGGAAGGAAAAGGAGCAUUGAGAUCUCACAAUCGUUACUCACCAAUAAUUACUGACUACAGAAGGAGUUAUGUUUCUUUGUCAGGAAAGGUUUAUCACAAAAUCAAUUUGUGGAGGAAAAGCCUACACACAAUGCUAGUUGUUGAAAGCUAUCCAGGAAAAGCUGGGACAGUGUAAUUUAGCAGCGUCGGGGCCGGAGGAAAACGCCACUUCUCAUGUUUACCAAGCAAUUGCAAACAUCUGGGAACUGGAGGAUCAGCGUGGAAGUUAAUCGGAACAUCUGGUCCAAAAUCAAUGCAGGAAAUAGCAUCCCAAAGGAAAAGAAGUUAUGGUAGCCAUACCAUAGUCUGCAGCUGACCAGUGGAAAAUGAAAAUGCAAUAAUCAGGCUCUGUGAUACUGUUCCAAGUGCAAAGUACCGGAUGCUUUCGUUUCACAAUGUAGUCCACUUUUAACUGGUCUUCCGGAUGUUACGCUCCUGAUUUUCCCAGGUUUUUUUUUCUUUUUGCCAAGCAUUCUCUUCUGUUUCUGACAAUGCCCCCUCAAACUGUAAUUAUUCUGUCUUGGUCAACAAUGAUAUCAAAAGAAUGGGUUAUGUUAGUUCACACCGGGUUCCUGCCUUCAAGGUUGGGAGGUCCCAGUGGGCGCACAGCUGUGACAGUGGAGAUAAGUUCCAGGCACAGGUUGUAACUUAUGACUUCACAGCUCGAAGCCUAACGCAUGCUUAGAGUUUCUGAUCUUGCCCAAGGUUGUGUCAAAAGGACAACAAUGACGAGUCUGCAACUGACAUAAGAAAGACAACGGCUGCUUUAAAGAAAUAACAACGUCAGAGGAAAACUGCUCAGUUAUUCCUGGCACAAUCUUUUAUGAAUUCAAGAGAAGCCUGGAAAAUUAAAAGAAUACUCAUUGUU